rnacentral:rRNA from 1 species
GACGAGGGGUCCAAGCGUUGGUCGGAAUCAUUGGGCGUAAAGCGGGUGUAGGUGGCUCUAUAAGUCAGAAGUGAUAGCCCCGGGCUUAACCCGGGAAGUGCUUUUGAUACUGCAGAGCUUGAAUGUGGGAGAGGGUAGUGGAAUUCCAGGUGUAGUGGUGAAAUACGUAGAUAUCUGGAGGAACACCGGUGGCGAAGGCGGCUACCUGGCCCAACAUUGACACUGAGACCCGAAAGCAUGGGGAUCAAACAGG